rnacentral:lncRNA from 1 species
CCACGUGACAAUAACACCGCUCCAGCCGGGGGCCUACGCGCGGGAGAAAGUGGAGCUGAGAUUGUAGGAAAUUCAGAGUUAUAUUUUCCAGCCUCUCCAGCCAGAAGUCUCCACUACGUCGUGGGAAACAUAUAUCAAAUGGAGUUGAAAGGCAAAAGGAAGUGAGCAAAUACUGGGCUAGUUCUCGGAGUUGGAGGUGAUCAGCGCCACAAGAUGUUGAAACUAAUGGAGACCGCAGAGAUCAUGUGCUAAGGGGCCUUCCUCCUCUGGGGUGGGAGAAGGAAUGUUCUCUGGAGAAAUCUGUAUGAUAGAAUAGUGAAGGUAACUGGCCUGAACUACAGCUCUUGAGCCAUCUGGUUUCACCUUCAGGGAGGUGCAGAGAGUGCUGGAAUGGAGGGUUAAUUGACCAUGGUGGAAAAGAGAGAAACAUUUUGAGGUCCCACUGAAGCUGAAUGACUGUGCAGGUUGAUACACUGGACAUUUUCGGUGAAACCUGUGUGAACAGACAACUGGAGGGUCAGAUGAUUUAUCCUCUCCCCAGUACCUUGGCACAAGCCUAGGCUACAGAAUGAGAUGCACGUAAGAAGUCUGUGACCUGGACCAGAGCAGCCCAGCUGAACACAUGCUGGAUUGGAAGAACCACCUUUGACCUGAAGACCUCUUCAGGAGAGAUUUGAUGAAAAAAAUUAUAUUUUGGCAUCAUCUUGACUCUUGAACUUACUCCCAGAUCAGCUACAAAUUUGUCCUAUGGCCUGAGGCACUGAAAACACGACAGAGCUCUGCAAUAAUUUCCAGUCAGACCAGACAACCUAGUUAUUCCCUUUUCCCAGGUGUCCCGGUGACCUAUAUUAUUGUCAACAACAAGGCAUUACUUCAGCUUCAAGUCUUGCAAAAUCUACUGGAUUGGAAGACCAGAUAUUCAUUUCACCAUUUAGCUGAAAAUGCACAGUACAUUUUAGAAUGAUGGGGUUUGUUUAGCUCAUCUAUCCGUCCAUCCUUACUUUUAUUCUAUUGGGUUCUUAAUUCAAAAGAAAGACUGCCACCUACUGGAUGUGUGAUACGAAGAAGAUAUUAGCAUUAAAAUAUACUCUCUCAUUAAAGGUUGAUUCAAAAUAAUUGCAGAAGAAAAUAUUCAAAAGAAUGUCCAAUUUUUACAGAUAAGUAUUGAACA